UACAGAGGGUGCGAACGUUGCUCGGAUUUACUGGGCGUAAAGCGCUUGUAGGCGGGCGAGUGUGUCGGGUGUGAAAUCCCUGAGCUUAACUCAGGAACUGCAUUCGAAACUAUUCGUCUUGAGGAAUUGAGAGGAGAACGGAAUUCCCGGUGUAGAGGUGAAAUUCGUAGAUAUCGGGAGGAACACCAGAUGCGAAGGCGGUUCUCUGGAAAUUUUCUGACGCUGAGAAGCGAAAGCGUGGGGAGCAAACAGG
rnacentral:rRNA from 1 species